rnacentral:rRNA from 1 species
UACAGGGGGUGCAAACGUUGCUCGGAAUCAUUGGGCGUAAAGCGCACGUAGUCGGUCUGUUAUGUCGGAUGUGAAAGCCCUCGGCUCAACUGAGGAAGUGCAUCCGAAACUGGCAGGCUAGAGUACUAAAGAGGGUCGCGGAAUUCCCGGUGUAGAGGUGAAAUUCGUAGAUAUCGGGAGGAACACCGGUGGCGAAGGCGGCGACCUGGGUAGAUACUGACGCUGAGGUGCGAAAGCGUGGGGAGCAAACAGG